CGGAGCGUGGCGCAGUCUGGUAGCGCACCUGCUUUGGGAGCAGGAAGUCGCUGGUUCGAAUCCAGUCGCUCCGA
rnacentral:tRNA from 1 species